AGCAGCCGCGGUAAUUCCAGCUCCAAUAGCGUAUAUUAAAGUUGUUGCAGUUAAAAAGCUCGUAGUUGAAUUUCGGGAUUGGCGCAUCGGUCGUGCCUCACGGGGUAUGAACUGGUGCAGUCAAUUUCUCACCUUCUGGAGAACCGCGAUGUCCUUAAUUGGAUGCCGCGGGGAACCAGGACCUUUACUUUGAAAAAAUUAGAGUGUUUAAAGCAGGCAUUUUUGCUUGAAUACAUUAGCAUGGAAUAAUAAAAUAGGACGGCAUGGUUCUAUUUUGUUGGUUUCUAGGACCACCGUAAUGAUUAAUAGGGAUAGUUGGGGGCAUUAGUAUUCAAUUGUCAGAGGUGAAAUUCUUGGAUUUAUUGAAGACUAACUACUGCGAAAGCAUUUGCCAAGGAUGUUUUCAUUAAUCAAGAACGAAAGUUAGGGGAUCGAAGACGAUCAGAUACCGUCGUAGUCUUAACCAUAAACUAUGCCGACUAGGGAUCGGAUGAUGUUAAUUUUUAAUGUA
rnacentral:rRNA from 1 species